rnacentral:rRNA from 1 species
AUUGAACGCUGGCGGCAGGCCUAACACAUGCAAGUCGAGCGAGCGGCGGACGGGUGAGUAAUGUCUGGGAAACUGCCUGAUGGAGGGGGAUAACUCCUGGAAACGGUAGCUAAUACCGCAUACCAUAUGAUGUGCCCAGAUGGGUUUGGCUGGUAGGUGGGGUAACGGCUCACCCAGGCGACGAUCACUCGCUGGUCUGUGGGGAUGACCACCCACACGGGAACUGAGACACGGACCAGACUCCGAGGGGAGGCAGCAGGGGGGAAUAUUGAACAAGGGGCGAAGGCCUGAUGCAGCAAUGCGGCGUGAGUGAAGAAGGCCUUCGGGUUGUAAAGCACUUUCAGCGGGGAGGCGUUACCCGCAGAAGAAGCACCGGCUAACUCCGUGCCAGUAGCCGCGGUAAUA